CCUCCUUUCUAAAGGAAAAAAAACUUUGAACUAAGUGUACGUUUAAAGUAACCACCGUCUAUUUGUUUUGCUUUUUUCAACUAAAGUUGAUAAAGAGCAUUGAUUGGGCGUGUAGCUCAGUUGGUUAGAGCGCGCGCUUGAUAAGCGUGAGGUCGGAGGUUCAAGUCCUCCCUCGCCCACCAACACUGUUGGGGGAUUAGCUCAGCUGGGAGAGCGCCUGAUUUGCAUUCAGGAGGUCAGCGGUUCGAUCCCGCUAUCCUCCACCAACUUUUUAAAAUCGUAAAUAUGUAAGCUGAUAACACAGACGAAUAACUUGCACGAGUUGUUCGUCAAUUAAACAACUAAUAUAACAACAAAUAACUACAAAAAGUUAUUAACAACAAACUUUUCACUGUGUGUUAAUAAUUCAAGCGCGUAAGAGCAUUUGGUGGAUGCCUUGGCAUAAAGAGGCGACGAAGGA
rnacentral:tRNA from 1 species